UAAUACGAAGGGGGCUAGCGUUGCUCGGAAUUACUGGGCGUAAAGGGUGUGUAGGCGGAUACUUAAGUCGGGGGUGAAAGCCCAGGGCUCAACCCUGGAAUAGCCUUCGAUACUGGGUAUCUUGAGUUCGGGAGAGGUAAGUGGAACUCCGAGUGUAGAGGUGAAAUUCGUAGAUAUUCGGAAGAACACCAGUGGCGAAGGCGACUUACUGGCCCGAUACUGACGCUGAAACACGAAAGCGUGGGGAGCAAACAGGAUUAGAUACCCUGGUAGUCCACGCUGUAAACGAUGAGUGCUAGUUGUCGGCAUGCAUGCAUGUCGGUGACGCAGCUAACGCAUUAAGCACUCCGCCUGGGGAGUACGGUCGCAAGAUUA
rnacentral:rRNA from 1 species